GGGAAUUUUCCGCAAUGGGCGAAAGCCUGACGGAGCAAUACCGCGUGAGGGAGGAAGGCUCUUGGGUUGUAAACCUCUUUUCUCAGGGAAGAAAAAAAUGACGGUACCUGAGGAAUAAGCAUCGGCUAACUCCGUGCCAGCAGCCGCGGUAAUACGGAGGAUGCAAGCGUUAUCCGGAAUGAUUGGGCGUAAAGAGUCCGUAGGUGGCAUUGAAAGUCUGCUGUUAAAGAGUCUAGCUCAACUAGAUAAGAGCAGUGGAAACUACAAAGCUAGAGUUUGGUCGGGGCAGAAGGAAUUCCUGGUGUAGCGGUGAAAUGCGUAGAUAUCAGGAAGAACACCGGUGGCGAAGGCGUUCUGCUAGGCCGAGACUGACACUGAGGGACGAAAGCUAGGGGAGCGAAUGGGAUUAGAUACCCCAGUAGUC
rnacentral:rRNA from 1 species